UGCGGAGGAUGCGAGCGUUAUCCGGAUUUAUUGGGUUUAAAGGGUGCGUAGGCGGUCCGUUAAGUCAGCGGUAAAAUUGCGGGGCUCAACCCCGUCGAGCCGUUGAAACUGUCAGACUUGAGUUGGCGAGAAGUACGCGGAAUGCGCGGUGUAGCGGUGAAAUGCAUAGAUAUCGCGCAGAACUCCGAUUGCGAAGGCAGCGUACCGGCGCCACACUGACGCUGAGGCACGAAAGCGUGGGGAUCGAACAGG
rnacentral:rRNA from 1 species